rnacentral:rRNA from 1 species
GAUGAACGCUGGCGGCGUGCCUAAUACAUGCAAGUCGAGCGAACGGACGAGAAGCUUGCUUUUCUGAUGUUAGCGGCGGACGGGUGAGUAACACGUGGAUAACCUACCUAUAAGACUGGGUUAACUUCGGGAAACCGGAGCUAAUACCGGAUAAUAUUUUGAACCGCAUGGUUCAAAAGUGAAAGACGGUCUUGCUGUCACUUAUAGAUGGAUCCGCGCUGCAUUAGCUAGUUGGUAAGGUAACGGCUUACCAAGGCAACGAUGCAUAGCCGACCUGAGAGGGUGAUCGGCCACACUGGAACUGAGACACGGUCCAGACUCCUACGGGAGGCAGCAGUAGGGAAUCUUCCGCAAUGGGCGAAAGCCUGACGGAGCAACGCCGCGUGAGUGAUGAAGGUCUUCGAAUCGUAAAACUCUGUUAUUAGGGAAGAACAUAUGUGUAAGUAACUGUGCACAUCUUGACGGUACCUAAUCAGAAAGCCACGGCUAACUACGUG